GGGCCCGCACAAGCGGUGGAGUAUGUGGUUUAAUUCGAUGAUACGCGAGGAACCUUACCAGGGCUUAAAUGUAGUGGGACAGGUCUAGAGAUAGACCCUUCUUCGGACUCAUUACAAGGUGCUGCAUGGUUGUCGUCAGCUCGUGCCGUGAGGUGUCAGGUUAAGUCCUAUAACGAGCGCAACCCCUAUCGUUAGUUGCCAGCGGGUAAUGCCGGGAACUCUAGCGAAACUGCCGGUGCAAACCGAGAGGAAGGUGGGGAUGACGUCAAGUCAUCAUGCCCCUUACAUCCUGGGCUACACACGUACUACAAUGCUACGGACAAAGGGCUGCAAGUUCGCGAGGACAAGCAAAUCCCAUAAACCGUGGCUCAGUUCAGAUCGUAGGCUGCAACUCGCCUACGUGAAGGCGGAAUCGCUAG
rnacentral:rRNA from 1 species